UUCAAGAUGAACUUUCAACAAGGAAGCCGCAAAGAUAAUUGGACAAUGGUGGGAGCAAGCACGGCAUGUUUUCUAUUGACAAUAUGAAGCUUUAUGCUUGUCAAAGCUGUGUGAAAUGGUAAACACUUGGUCAAAAAGGAAGAGGAUUAUGCCUGUACUUUUAACUUCAAACUGGGAACCUAUAUGUCACAAAGUGUAUACAUAAUUUGAUUAUCAGAUUAUUUCCAAUUUAGUCCAUGUGAGAAUGAUAAUGUAAUAUACUUGUGUGAUUCAAGUUUAUUUACCUUUUAA